rnacentral:rRNA from 1 species
CCCUUAGAUGUUCUGGGCUGCACGCGCGCUACACUGAUGCAUCCAACAAGUAUUUUCCUUGUUCGGAAGGACUGGGUAAUCUUUUGAGUAUGCAUCGUGAUGGGGAUAGAUUAUUGCAAUUAUUAAUCUUCAACGAGGAAUGCCUAGUAAGCGCAAGUCAUCAGCUUGCGUUGAUUACGUCCCUGCCCUUUGUACACACCGCCCGUCGCUCCUACCGAUUGAAUGGUCCGGUGAAGCGUUCGGACCGUGGCCUUUGGACGGUUCGCCGUCUGUUGGCUGCGGGAAGUUCGUUAAACCUUAUCAUUUAGAGGAAGGAGAAGUCGUAACA